AGUGAACGCUGGCGGUAGGCCUAACACAUGCAAGUCGAACGGCAGCACAGUAAGAGCUUGCUCUUACGGGUGGCGAGUGGCGGACGGGUGAGGAAUACAUCGGAAUCUACUUUUUCGUGGGGGAUAACGUAGGGAAACUUACGCUAAUACCGCAUACGACCUACGGGUGAAAGCAGGGGAUCUUCGGACCUUGCGCGAUUGAAUGAGCCGAUGUCGGAUUAGCUAGUUGGCGGGGUAAAGGCCCACCAAGGCGACGAUCCGUAGCUGGUCUGAGAGGAUGGACAGCCAAACUGGGACUGAGACACGGUCCAGACUCCUACGGGAGGCAGCAGUGGGGAAUAUUGGACAAAGGGCGCAAGCCUGAUCCAGCCAUACCGCGUGGGUGAAGAAGGCCUUCGGGUUGUAAAGCCCCUUUGUUGGGAAAGAAAAGCAGCAGGUUAAUACCCCGCUGUUCUGACGGUACCCAAAGAAUAAGCGCCGGCUAACUUCGUGC
rnacentral:rRNA from 1 species